rnacentral:rRNA from 1 species
UUGAACGCUGGCGGCAUGCUUUACACAUGCCCGUCGCACGGUAACAGGCCGCAAGGUGCUGACGAGUGGCGAACGGGUGAGUAAUGCAUCGGAACGUGCCCAGUCGUGGGGGAUAACUACUCGAAAGAGUAGCUAAUACCGCAUACGAUCUAUGGAUGAAAGCGGGGGACCGUAAGGCCUCGCGCGAUUGGAGCGGCCGAUGUCAGAUUAGGUAGUUGGUGGGGUAAAGGCUCACCAAGCCAACGAUCUGUAGCUGGUCUGAGAGGACGACCAGCCACACUGGGACUGAGACACGGCCCAGACUCCUACGGGAGGCAGCAGUGGGGAAUUUUGGACAAUGGGCGCAAGCCUGAUCCAGCAAUGCCGCGUGCAGGAAGAAGGCCUUCGGGUUGUAAACUGCUUUUGUACGGAACGAAACGGCUCUGGUUAAUACCCGGGGCUAAUGACGGUACCGUAAGAAUAAGCACCGGCUAACUACGUG